AACACGUGUCGUCUUUUUUCCCUGCCACCAUACAUAGUCGAUUCAUCCUCUCAAACCUCAUCACAGAGAAAAAGACCAGAGAAUUAGUAUGAACUGAAAAUGUGAGAGAGAAAGAUAAGAGGGUGAGUGAAGCAGCGGCGAGCCAUCUACGGAAACGGAAAUGACGGUCGUACCGAGGUUUUCGGUCAUCGCAGCGGUGGUCAACAGUCGCACCAGGUGGUGGCUAGGGUUUCAGUUUCCGUUUCAGACAUUAUCAGCAGCAGAAACCAAUGGUCAAGACGGUUAGGGUAUCACCACAGUGAUGAAGAUGGCUUAAAGAAGCUCCGGCGAGAUACCUAGGGUUCCGGCCAUAUUCCGGCGAAUUCCCCGCAGAAAGAGAUGAAGAUGGCUUCAAGAAGCUCCGGCGAGAUACCUAGGGUUCCGGCCAUAUUCCGGCGAAUUCCCCGCAGAAGGAUUAAAGCUUGCAUGUUCCAUUUUCAUGUAGAUUGAUGACCGAUUCGUCUGAAAUCAUUCCGAGACAUGUUUUUAUGGCUUCCAGGAAGCUUCUAUCCUUUUACUUGAUGAAUAAGAGAGACAACAAAGAGAAAGGCAGUCCUUAAUGAGAGACUCAGGCGCGUGCAGACUAUCUAGCCAUAAAAAAAUGUCAAUGACGAAGCUUUCCAUGGUGCUAUCGGUUGGAGUGUACAGGAAGUGGUGGUGGUGCAGACGCAGCUCUGAUGAAUUGUGGUGUUGAAACAAGGUCGAAACAAAACGAAAGGGGACAAUGACGACAUAGUGACAGUUUAGAAACCAUAGCCGUGAACUUAGCCGACUAGGGUUUUUAUCAAAAAUCCAGUGACCCCUUCGAGCUGCGUGUCUUAUUUCGAAGCUAGGAACUACGAGGUACAUGUAAAUCCAAUUACCUAUCUCGCACCACCUCUAUACAACUUUAAGGUACGUGUAAUUUGAAGAAUGUUACACAAUCAUUAUAAAUUAUCAGUCCUUCCACACUUGUGUUUUUUCGUAUGAUGAGGAGAAGCUUCAUUGAUAUUUUCAUUCCCCUUUUGCAAAGCGUGAGUAGAAAAGAUUGAAAUAAUUAUUUCUGCUUUCAUUAGUUGGAUGCUUAAUUUGGGUUUUUCUUCAUAAAUAUUGCUUUUAUUUUUGUUCGUUUGUUUUGAUUUCAUAUAUACAGGUUAUUACUAUUAAUGAAAAAAGAAUAUUUGGCAUCCUUUUGGGUUUAACAUUGAAUUGUGACAAAUGAGAACAUGGGCUGCCCUGCCUCUCAAUAUUCUUGACCCCUUCCACAAGGUCAAAAUUAUUUUUUGUAAGAUUUUACAAAAUGGUUACUCAUUAUUUUUAGUACAAAGCAUAAACAUUAUGUAUUUAUUCCAAGUCUUACUGAAGCAUAUUGGUUAAUCAACAAAACUAGAAAGAUUUGAUUAGUUGUAUACUCUAAUCGAAAUCGUUUAAUUGUCUUAAAUUCAGGUAAAGAUUGUCAAAUCUAAGAGAUUAGGAGGCUGUAUUAUGAAACUGGUGACUCGACUUCUGACUCGCCAGGCAUUUUCAUGUCUGAUUCACUAACUCAACUCGGAAUUGCUUCCACAUUACAAAUGGGAGUAGAAACAUAAGACAUAUAAAAGCGAUGGUCUUUAGUAGAUAAACAUAUUUAUGGUCUCAAAACUGAAAAAAAAAAGUCGGAGUAAGCUUUGUAAGUUAAAAGUUCUCGGAAUGUUGUAAUGUUGCUGUAAUCAUCUUCUCCAAGCCGUUGUUGAAGCCUUUGCUGUCUCAAGUAAACUUUGUUUUUAAUGGUUC